rnacentral:rRNA from 1 species
GAUUCCUACGGGACGCAGCAGUCGAGAAUCAUUCACAAUGGGGGAAACCCUGAUGCAGUGACGCCGCGUGAAGGACGAAGUAUUUCGGUACGUAAACUUCUAUCAGCAGGGAAGAAAAUGACGGUACCUGACCAAGAAGCCCCGGCUAACUACGUGCCAGCAGCCGCGGUAAUACGUAGGGGGCAAGCGUUAUCCGGAUUUACUGGGUGUAAAGGGAGCGUAGACGGCCGUGCAAGUCUGAUGUGAAAACCCGGGGCUCAACCCCGGGACUGCAUUGGAAACUGCAUGGCUGGAGUGUCGGAGAG